GAUGAACGCUGGCGGCGUGCCUAAUACAUGCAAGUCGAGCGAACAGAUGAGGAGCUUGCUCCUCUGACGUUAGCGGCGUACGGGUGAGUAACACGUGGAUAACCUACCUAUAAGACUGGGAUAACUUCGGGAAACCGGAGCUAAUACCGGAUAAUAUAUUGAACCGCUUGGUUCAAUAGUGAAAGACGGUUUUGCUGUCACUUAUAGAUGGAUCCGCGCCGCAUUAGCUAGUUGGUAAGGUAACGGCAUACCAAGGCAACGAUGCGUAGCCGACCUGAGAGGGUGAUCGGCCAUACUGGAACUGAGACAAGGUACAAACUCCUACGGGAGGCAGCAGUAGGGAAUCUUCAGCAAUGGGCGAAAGCCUGACGGAGCAACGACGCGUGAGUGAUGAAGGUAUUCGGAUCGUAAAACUCUGUUAUUAGGGAAGAACAAAUGUGUAAGUAACUAUGCACGUCUUGACGGUACCUAAUCAGAAAGCCACGGCUAACUACGUG
rnacentral:rRNA from 1 species